GUUUGAUUCUGGCUCAGGAUGAACGCUGGCGGCAUGCCUAAUACAUGCAAGUCGAACGGAGUGAAGCCUUCGGGUUUCAUUCAGUGGCGAACGGGUGAGUAAUACGCAGGGAACCUGGCCAUGGCAGGGGGAUACACUCUGGAAACGGAGCAUAAGACCCCAUAGGCAGUAAGGCGGCAUCGCCUUACUGUUAAAGAAAGCUGAAAGGCUUUGGCGAUGGAUGGACCUGCGGUGCAUUAGCUUGUUGGUGAGGCAACGGCUUACCAAGGCGAUGAUGCAUAGCCGGCCUGAGAGGGCGGACGGCCACACUGGGACUGAGACACGGCCCAGACUCCUGCGGGAGGCAGCAGUAGGGAAUUUUCGUCAAUGGGCGCAAGCCUGAACGAGCAAUGCCGCGUGAGUGAGGAAGGUCUUCGGACUGUAAAGCUCUGUUGCCGGGGAAAAAGGGGAAAUGCAGGAAAUGGCAUUUCAUGGAUGGUACCCGGCCAGAAAGCCACGGCUAACUACGUGCCAGCAGCCGCGGUAAUACGUAGGUGGCGAGCGUUAUCCGGAAUGAUUGGGCGUAAAGGGUGCGCAGGCGGUCUGUUAAGUCUGAAGGCAAAGGGAUGAGCUCAACUCAUUUAUGAUUCAGAAACUGGCAGACUUGAGGACAGGAGAGGGCGGUGGAACUCCAUGUGUAGCGGUAAAAUGCGCAGAGAUAUGGAAGAACACCAGUGGCGAAGGCGGCCGCCUGGCCUGUGACUGACGCUGAGGCACGAAAGCGUGGGGAGCAAAUAGGAUUAGAUACCCUAGUAGUCCACGCCGUAAACGAUGAGGAGCAGGUGUUGGGAGUGAAAUCUCAGUGCCGAAGCCAACGCAGUGACUCCUCCGCCUGGGGAGUAUGCACGCAAGUGUGAAACUCAAAGGAAUUGACGGGGGCCCGCACAAGCGGUGGAGUAUGUGGUUUAAUUCGAAGCAACGCGAAGAACCUUACCAGGUUUUGACAUCGGAUGCGAAGGCGCAGAGAUGCGCUGGAGGCUAUCAUCCAGACAGGUGGUGCAUGGUUGUCGUCAGCUCGUGUCGUGAGAUGUUCAGUUAAGUCUGGCAACGAGCGCAACCCCCGUGGUAUGUUACUAACGCAUUUGGGCGAGGACUCAUAUCAGACUGCCGGUGACAAACCGGAGGAAGGCGGGGAUGACGUCAAAUCAUCAUGCCCCUUAUGACCUGGGCUACACACGUACUACAAUGGCGUCUACAGAGGGAAGCGACCCUGAGAAGGGAAGCGAAACCGGAAAAGGGCGUCCCAGUUCGGAUUGAAGUCUGCAACCCGACUUCAUGAAGAUGGAAUCGCUAGUAAUCGCGGAUCAGCAUGCCGCGGUGAAUACGUUCCCGGGCCUUGUACACACCGCCCGUCAAACCAUGGAAGCCGGCAACGCCCGAAGCCGGUGGCAUAACCUUUUAGGAGUGAGCCGUCGAAGGCGGGGCCGAUGACUGGGGUUAAGUCGUAAAAAGGUAACC
rnacentral:rRNA from 1 species